rnacentral:tRNA from 1 species
GGACAGGUGUCAGAGUGGUCGAAUGAGCACGCUUGGAAAGCGUGUGUGCGUGUGAGCGUACCGUGGGUUCGAAUCCCACCCUGUCCG